UCUGAACCUUUCUAGCGAUGCUAGGGAGCGUUUUCGAUGGAUACGACUACAAUAUCUCAUUUUGUUGUCAUUGCAGAUGAAUGAGUGUUCUAAUUCAAACCAUUAUACACGGAAAUCGAGGAUUUUUUGUUGUUUCUGUAUCUGUUUUUAUCCAUCUGCGCAUUAAGAAACCAUUUYYACGUCAAUUUUGAUAAUUUGUCGUCGAUUYCCCAUGAAAUCAUUUGUAUAGAAUGAAAAAGAAUUUGAAACUAGAUACAUCCUCUUUUUGUUUCCCUAUUAGUUUCUUUAUUAUCUUUUAAUCAAUAWAUAGAAAAUGCAUUCGCAAAAUGAGUUAUAUACAAAUAGUGUGCGAAUG
rnacentral:rRNA from 1 species